CCCUCAAGAUGAGAUAUCCCUGCUUAGGCAGUAAGACCCCUUGUAGACGACAAGGUAGAUAGGUUGGAGGUGGAAGAGCGGCAACGCUUGCAGCUGACCAAUACUAAUAGGUCGAGGGCUUGACCAGAA
rnacentral:rRNA from 1 species